GAGGGUAUAGCUCUGGGGUAGAGUGUGUGCCUAAUAUGCACAAGAUGCUGGGGUCAAUCCCCAGUACCUCCA
rnacentral:tRNA from 1 species